GCCGGGGCUUCUUCUACGGUUACCGUCAUUAUCUUCACCGUUGAAAGAGCUUUACAACCCUAGGGCCGUCAUCACUCACGCGGCAUGGCUGGAUCAGGCUUUCGCCCAUUGUCCAAUAUUCCCU
rnacentral:rRNA from 1 species